UAUAAGUUGGUGUUUAAGCACAUAGGGUUUUGAUUCCUAAGGUUAAAGAUUUGAAAUUUAACUUAUAA
rnacentral:tRNA from 1 species